rnacentral:lncRNA from 1 species
ACGAGAUUUGAUGGUUUAAAAGAGUAUGGCUUUCCCUCCCUCUCUCUCCUGCUCCUCCAUUGUUAAGACGUGUGCGCUUUUCCUUCACCUUCCACCAUAAUUUUUGGGAGCCUGGGAAGUACAAAAUCAAGGCGCCAGCAGAUUUCAGUGUCUGGAGAAAACCUGCUUCCUCAAAGGUCUUGACGUUGGGAAGUAAAAGAUCAGAGUGCUGGCAGAUUUUGGUGUCUAGUAAAGGACGGCUUUCUAGUGUAUAGAUAACACCUUCUAUCCAUGUCCUCACAUGGUGAAAAAGUGACUGUAAGUUUCCUGAGGCCUCCCCAGAAGCAGAAGCCUGUAUACUCGGCAGAAGUGUACUUCAAUAGGAUGUUGGAAAAGAAGACUUCCACUCUAAUAGGAUGAAAAAAUGAUCAUUUAUUUACAUCAUUCUGAUUUCUUUUAAUUGCUUCACAAUCCACUAUAAAGAAGAUUCGCUCUGACCCUAAAUUUUCUACUUUUUUUCCCACUUUUCUCUCACAUAAAUUAGGUGUUUCAUUCUUUUUCCUCCUUAUUAUUUUAUUUACACCAUUCUGUGUUGAGCACAGAAAGGUGGAAGUAUAUAGCCCUGUUCUCUGUUUUUAAUGCUCUGUAUAUUUUUGUUUCCUUUUCUGUGGAAUCAGUUUUUCAUUAUCCUUAUAGAAUCAGUUUUUCAUUAUCCUUAUAAGGAGAUGCCAUUUUUCUCAAUCUUUCCUUAAAAUCUAACUAACUUCUUUACUAAGUCAUUUCUGUUCCUUAUAGAAUAGUGAAUGUGACUGUUCUUAGUGUAUUGACUGGUCCCUUUACAUCAGCAUUGUAACUUUUAGGUAUUAGUUUACUUUCAUAUGAUUGUUAUUUCAUAUAUCAUUGUGAACAUAUUUUUUUCCAAAAAUAAAAUACAUAUUGACCUAAAAGAAAUUGCAUCUAAAAGAAAA